GUUGCCACGGAGACGGCCUAUUGCCCCCCCCCCAAGCAACUCCUCAAGGAGUUCCUGAAGGAAGUGUUACAGGCCCAAAUAAUUUCAACUGCUUCAUUAAGAGGCUUUCCUCCAUUAUAAGGUCAGAAGUUGGGAAGGUGCAAUCAUCAUCGAACAAUGUUCAGCACCAUUCACAACUCCUUCAAUACUAAAGCAUCUGUGUCCACAUGCAGCAAGACCUGGACAAUAUCUAACUAUGGCUGACAAGUGAUGCUGCCAGACCUGCUGAGCAUCUCCAGUAAGUUCUGUUUUUGUUUGAGAAAGUCCAUGGUGUACCACCUGUUGGGUGUCAAGGAAGCUUCGAGGAAAAGAAGGAAUUCACCAGGAGAAACACACUGCAAACUAAACUGAAAUUGGUAGUCUCCUGUAAUCUCACAGGCAGUGAGCAUGAUUUGAGAAAAGAGCAGUCUGGGUGACAUGCACGUUUUUAUAUUCUUCUUUCAAGUGUACACAAGAAGCGUGGUUAAAAGUCAAUUUCAACCCUUGUCUGCAGUUUCAAGUUUGUGAAGGUGUCUGCUCUGAGAGUUACAGCUGAGAAAACCACUAGUCAUCCUUGCACUGCAAGGAAAAAGAGAGGAAGUCUCUAUCUCUGCUUGAAGUCAGAAAGCAAGUGAGACUGCAUUCAAAAGGAAACAGGACGAAGGCCUUUCAGCUGACCUGCUCACCUACCAACAUCAGCGGUAUUUGUAUCACCCAAUGUAAUGGUUGCGACAUCUCAUCGUCUUCUCAUUAUGAAACUCAGAGACUGAUCCAUAAGUCUGUUAAAGUUUUUUACUUUUUUGAACAUGUCUCUCAUUUCUGUUCUGUGUAUAUGUUUCCUUCUUUAUUCUUCUUAUGUUUAAUAAUUAAUUAAGUCACUCAUUUAGCUCAAGAAAGCACUGUAAAAUUGGCUCCUUUUAAAGUAUAAGUUCACUUUGUCUGGGAGACAAGCAUCCACAAAAGAAAGAAUCCUUUAAAAAUUAACAUUGUUGUGACCAACUGAGGGAGUGGGUGAAUAUAAAAGAGGACCCUGUUCAUCCCUCCUCACCAGGAGUUUGACAAUUUGGAGCAUCCUAUCUAGAAUUUUUGUAAGAUGUGGUUCCUCACCUUGACUGAUUAUGUCAAUCCUAGCUCCUGAGAGCUAAGGGGUAAGCAAUGUGACUGUUUUUAUUGGGAGCAUUAAAAAUUAAAGGUAAAGGAAGCACGGUAUGUUAGUGAUGGCAACCUUGGAUUUUAAGUAUACUGUAUGGAUACAGCCAUCUGUUACAAAUAUUUAGACUACCCUCAUUCAACUGAUUCAUGAAUAACUCUCAGGUUUUUGACUCCAUUUUCCCAGUCAUUAUUCAUUAAAGCAUUCUCUUGGUGUCCCAACCAGUAUGUAUUCCUGAAACAACAUCACUGAAACCAAUUAUCUGAUCACUUAUCUCCUUACUGCUUGGAAGACUGUUCUGUAUUCAAAUUGACUGUUGUGCUUCCCCAUGUUACAACAGCAACUGGUUGCAUUUCAACAAAAAAAUGGCUUGGGACAUCCUGAGGUGGUGCACAUUCCUUCUUUCAGAUAUUUGUCAGUAAGAUUAUCUUUUCCCCAUGUGAAAUUAUAAUGAUACAUUUCAAGGUGGUAUGGACUAAACAAACUUGAUAUCUUUUUAUUUCACUUAGCGUUACUUGGCCCUGAGCAAAAGGAGAAGAGGUACUUGAGGAUUCUUACUGUAAAUCUAUAAUCUGUAGGUAUGAGAUCAAUAUCUGUGCCAGGUGCUGAAAAGAAAGAGAAUGCAGAAAUUAUUUCUACAAAGACAGAUGUAGUAAAGUGCACAAAAUUACAAUAAAUAGAUAAUCUCUA